AACGAACGCUGGCGGCAUGCCUAACACAUGCAAGUCGAACGAGACCUUCGGGUCUAGUGGCGCACGGGUGCGUAACGCGUGGGAACCUGCCCUUAGGUUCGGAAUAACUCCCCGAAAGGGGUGCUAAUACCGGAUAAUGUCUUCGGACCAAAGAUUUAUCGCCUUUGGAUGGGCCCGCGUUGGAUUAGCUAGUUGGUAGGGUAAAAGCCUACCAAGGCGACGAUCCAUAGCUGGUCUGAGAGGAUGAUCAGCCACACUGGGACUGAGACACGGCCCAGACUCCUACGGGAGGCAGCAAUGGGGAAUAUUGGACAAUGGGCGAAAGACUGAUCCAGCAAUGCCGCGUGAGUGAGGAAGGCGUUAGGGUUGUAAAGCUCUUUUAACCGGGAUGAUAAUGACAGUACCGGGAGAAUAAGCUCCGGCUAACUCCGUG
rnacentral:rRNA from 1 species